UCUAAGCACAUGCCUUAAUACGGUGAAGCCGCGAAUAGCUCAUUACAACAGCCAUCGUUUAUUAGAAUAUCGUUAUCCUACUUGGAUAACUGUGGCAAUUCUAGAGCUAAUACAUGCAAUAAAGCUCCGCCCGCAAGGAACGAGCGCAUUUAUUAGAAUAAAAACCAAUCGAGUUUCGACUCGUAAUUUGGUGAAUCUGAAUAACUUUGCCAAUCGCACAGUCCUAGUACUGGCGAUGUAUCUUUCAAGUGUCUGCCUUAUCAACUUUCGAUGGUACGCUAUACGCCUACCAUGGUAGUAACGGGUAACGGAGAAUAAGGGUUCGACUCCGGAGAGGGAGCCUGAGAAACGGCUACCACAUCCAAGGAAGGCAGCAGGCGCGCAAAUUACCCACUUCCAGAACGGAGAGGUAGUGACGAAAAAUAACGAGACAGUCCUCUUCGAGGUCUGUCAUCGGAAUGGGUACAAUUUAAA
rnacentral:rRNA from 1 species